ACACACACACUCCACCCACACACUGCAUGUCUACACACAGCCCUCAUCUCACCCCUCCAGCCCAUCCCCCCACCAGGCUGUGUGAGCAGGAGCUCCCUCUUUCUCCCACCCUCGGAGAAGCCCAGCGGCUGGUGGGGUGGCUACAGCCAGCUGGCUGCAAGGGCAAUCCCACUCCAAACACCCCCAAGUCCACAGCAGACACACGCACCCCCACGUGCCGAGCAUGUGCUUGCCGCCUGCGUCAGUCCACUCUGUCCGCACGGCCACGCUAGGAGCGAGUGGUGGGAACACUCCCCACGUCCUGGGGAGGCCAGGACGCUCCCUCCACAGGAACCGGGUCAGCGAGGUCUUUGUUUCCAUUGCAGCAGACCAACUGCCCAAGGAGGCUUUGUGCCUGUGCCCUCUGGGGACAGGCAAGCCAGGCAGUGAGGGACCUCGGGCCUGGGGCUAUGGGGCCGCCACCUACCCCUGGACUGUGUGGACCACCCCCAGCCCAGGACCCGCCACGCUGGAUGUUCCAGCAGACUCUCAACCCCGCCAAGCCAGCCGACCGGCUCAGUUCUGAAUCCCAGCGCCGCACACAGGACCGCACAGGAGGGGUGAUGGGGCGCGGCUUCCAAAUACACAGAACUCUCCCGUUCUCUGCCCCCUGUCCUUGGCACCUCGCUCCUCGGAGGGCGGCCUGGUUGGGAGUGAUGGACACGGGCUUGUCACCCAGUCACUGGAGGGUGUGCAGGGACACAGGUGGCGGGGAUGAACGUGGGGGAGAGCCCUCCCCACGCCCACCCCAAGAGAGGGGACCCAGAGAAAAACAGACACUAUCUCCUCCCUCGCCCAGGAUUUCACAGGAACAACAAACACCAUCAAACGCAAAACAAGACGUCCUGGGGUUCCCGUGGUGGCUCAGUGGGCUGGGGAUCCAGUGUUGCCGCAAGCUGCGGCGUAGGUCACAGAUGCAGCUCUGAUUCGACUCCCAGCCUGGGACCUUCCAUAGGCUGCAGGUGCAUACAAGCAAACACACCAAGAAGAAACAACAUGUCCAACUUCUAUCCCAGCCAAGAGCCUCUACCCUCACAUGUAAAGAGCUCUUACAAAUCAAUUCUUAAAAUACCCAAGAGGGGGGACGAAAGCAACGGCUAUGAAGAGAAAGGAGAAUAAAAAUAACCCUCGCAUAUACAAAAAAGUGCCCGGCCUCUUACACUUAACACAAAGGCAAAUUAAAACUGCGCUGAGAAAUGAGUGUUUUAUUCAUCGGAGAGCCAAGGAGUAAAGAUUAAUGACACGCCGUGUUGCCAUGGUGUGGGGAACCAGACACUCUGGGAGCCUCGGAACAAUGUCCAGAUUCCAAAUAUAUGUACCUUUUGGCCCAGCAUUUGCUUCUAGGAAUCUGUCCUCCAGAGACUGCUCACAAAUAGGAAAAAUGGUCUAUUACCGCACACAAGGUCAUCGGCCGAAGCACUCUGUGUAACAGCAGCAAAUGAGGAACACCGUGGAUGCCGCUGGGGGUGUGCUCGCAGGUGCGGAGAGGCGCCAGCAGCCGGGCAAGCGGGUCGCGUUUGACCCCAUCUCGACGGGCGGUCUUUAGGGGCACGAGACGAUGCAGAACUGUACACGGGACUUUUAUCUAUUUUCUUUUUAACUUCGUAUGUAACAAAAUGGGCUUUUGGUGGCUUGGGUGUGCAAAGGGCAGGGGAAAGUGGAGGGCUAGGAGACAGGGGAGAGAGGAGGGAAUUUCUUUAAGGGUGUUUUCUAGCUAUUACGGCUCCGCAGUGAAGUUCACCCUCCUGAAGGGUACAGGGACAAACGGACACAUCUGUGACUCGGCAGCCCAGCCACCCCGGGAAAUGAGACUUCUCCCCGUGCACCUGCCCUUUGAAUGCUGGACAAUGUGCAUGCAUUUCCUUUUGUCAUACACGUAGAUACAGAAGGUGGAAUGAAAACUUGCUUCAUCGCUGUCAUCGCAUCGGGUCCCCGCAGUAACCCAGGAGGGCGAGUCUUUCCGCCCUGGUUUGCAGGGCAGACGGAACUUCGUGGACCGACGGAGGCUUGGAGGCGCCCGAGAGCUGAGCCAGAACUUGAACCCAAGGCUCUCUUUUGUUUUAACUGCUUUCUCGAGGGAUAAGUCCUUUCUUUUAAAAUUUUUAAUGACGUUUAUUUUUUUCCAUUAGAGCUGGCUUACGGUGCUCUGUCCGUUUUCUCCUGUGCAGCAAGGUGACCCAGUCACACAUACAUGUGGACCUUCUUUUUGCUCCGAUGAUCCUGCUCCGUCAGAGGUGACCGGAUAGAGUCCCCAGUGCUGUGCAGCAGGACCCCACUGCUUCUCACUCCAGAGGCAGUCGUGUGCAUCCAAUCACCCCAGACUCCCCCUCGGCAGCCACCCGUCUGUUCUCCAAAUCCAUGAGUUUCCUCCCUGUGGCAAGGCUCACGCGGGCCGAAUGUUAGAUUCCAGAUGCAAGUGACAUCAUACGGUAUUUGUCUUUCUCGAGGGCCAAUCUGCGUCCCCCACAGUUACCCGUUUCGACUGUGCUCGUCGAUGGUUUUCAGCAUCUCCACAGGGUUCUGCCACCAUCCGAUUUGAGAAUGUGCUUUUCACCGCAGAGGAAACCCAUGGCAGUCCCCCCACUCUCCACCAUCACCCCAGACCCUGGGCUGUCUUUCUGUCCAUCCGCCACCAUCGUGCUUUCUGCCUCUGUGGAUCUGCCUGUUCCGGAUACUUCGCGGGAAGGGACGCCUCUGCGCCGGGCUCUUGUGGCUGGUUCGCUUCCCUUGGUCCAGUGCUUCUGAGUUCUCGCGUGUCGUCGCUUACAGGCGGGUGCGUCCCUUGGACGGCCCAGUAAGAGUCCACCGGGAGGAGGCAGCAGGUCCCGUCACGCAUUCAUUCGUCUGGAGGGGCCUUUGGGCUGUUCCCCGUUUGAGGACAGUGUGGACACGCCAUGAACACUGACGCGGAAGUUUUCACGUGAACGUGUGUGUCCAGCCCUCUUGGGUGUGUGUACACCGAGGACUGGCACUGCUGGCCAGACGGUAACACUGAGUUUCUCGUGUCGAGGGAGUCCCAACACGUUUCCAGGGUGGCUGCCGCAUUUCCCAUUCCCACCAGCCAGGUGCGGGUUUCAGUGCCUCCUCAUCCAACACUUGCUGUUCUUUUUUUUUUUUUUUGUCUUUUCGCCUUUUCUAGGGCUGCUCCCGCGGCAUAUGGAGGUUCCCAGGCUAGGGGUCGAAUCGGAGCUGUAGCCGCCCGGCCUGCACCACAGCCACUGUGACACGGGAUCCGAGCUGCGUCUGCGACCUACACCCCAGUUCACGGCAACACCGGAUCCUUAACCCACGGAGCAAGGCCAGGGAUCGAACCCGCCACCUGAUGGUCCUGGUCGGAUUCAGGAACCACUGCGCCACGACGGGAACUCCGCGGUUCUGUGUCUUCUUGAUUCGAGCCGUCCUGGCGGGAAGGCUGAUCCUGACGUUUGUCUCCCGGUGGCUAAUAACGUUCAGCAUCUUUUCAUGAGCUUCGUGGCCUUGGUCCAUCUUCUUUGAAGAGAGGCCUACUCGGAUAUUGUGCCCAUGUCCAAACUGGGCUGCUGAUCUUAUUCGGUGGUGAAGCGAUCUGUGUAGAUUCCAGCCCCAGAUUCCUAAUUAGAGUUGUAACUGCCAGUGUUUUCUCUCUUUCCAUGGGCUGUUUCUGCACUUUCCUGUGGGAACUGUUCGCAGCACAAAAGUUUUCCAAUUCUGAUGAAGUCUAAUUUUUUGUUGUUGUUGUUGCUUCUGCUGUCCGUGUCGCAUCUAAGAAGCGUUUGCCGAAGGUGAAGACGUACGCCUGGACUUUCUUCCAAGCGCUUUAGGGUUACAGCCCUUAUAUUUAGGCCUUCGCCCCGAUGAGUUAAUUGUUCUCAUGAUGUGAAAGAGGGGUUCAGUGUCAUUCGUUUCGCACAGACAUGGAGAACAGGUGGCCGAGGGGGACGGAGGGGACGGCCUGGGAGUGUGAGGUUAGGUGAUGCAAACUGUCACAUUUAGAACAGCGAAGCAAGGGGCCCUGCGUAUAAGCCAGGGAUCCAUACCCAGUCUCUUGGGAGGGAACACAAUACAAGAAAGGGAGUGGUUGUGUGUGUGUGGCCGGGUCAUUUUGCUGUCCAGCAGACACUGCCACAACACUGUACAUCAACUAUACGUUAAUAAAAUAAUAAUAGUCUUCAG
rnacentral:lncRNA from 1 species